GAUGAACGCUAGCGGCAGGCUUAACACACGCAAGUCGAGGGGUAGAGGCUUUCGGGCCUUGAGACCGGCGCACGGGUGCGUAACGCGUAUGCAAUCUGCCUUGUACUGGGGGAUAGCCCAGAGAAAUUUGGAUUAAUACCCCAUAGUAUUUUCGGUUGGCGUCAACUGAUUAUUAAAGUUUUUCGGUACAAGAUGAGCAUGCGUCCCAUUAGCUAGUUGGUAUGGUAACGGCAUACCAAGGCUACGAUGGGUAGGGGUCCUGAGAGGGAGAACCCCCACGCUGGUACUGAGGCACAGACCAGACUCCUACGGGAGGCAGCAGUGAGUAAUAUUGGUCAAUGGUCGCAAGACUGAACCAGCCAUGCCGCGUGCAGGAUGAAGCAUCUAUGGUGUGUAAACUGCUUUUGUACGGGAAGAAACACUCCUACGUGUAGGGGCUUGACGGUACCGUAAGAAUAAGGAUCGGCUAACUCCGUGCCAGCCGCCGCAGUAAUAC
rnacentral:rRNA from 1 species